AACAAGCAGUGAUGAUGAUGACUAUAUGUCACUUUUCCUGAAACUACCUGAUGUCUUUAAGUCACUACCUCAUCUGAGCUUGUC